GUGGGGAAUAUUGCGCAAUGGGGGAAACCCUGACGCAGCGACGCCGUGUGAGGGAAGAAGGCUUUUGGGUCAUAAACCUCUGUCAGAAAGGAAGAACCUCCCAAGUCCGAAUAGGGCUUGGGACUGACGGUACUUUCAAAGGAAGCACCGGCUAACUCCGUGCCAGCAGCCGCGGUAAUACGGAGGGUGCAAGCGUUAAUCGGAAUCACUGGGCGUAAAGCGCGCGUAGGCCGCUUUGUAAGUCGGACGUGAAAGCCCUCGGCUCAACCGGGGAACUGCGUUCGAUACUGCGAGGCUUGAGUCCUGGAGAGGGUGGCGGAAGUCCGGGUGUAGGAGUGAAAUCCGUAGAUAUCCGGAGGAACACCGGUGGCGAAGGCGGCCACCUGGACAGGUACUGACGCUGAGGCGCGAAAGCGUGGGGAGCAAACAGGAUUAGAAACCCCAGUAGUCC
rnacentral:rRNA from 1 species